ACACACGUGACCUCCCUCCUGGUUUACGGCACGUUUUGACCUCCAUUACACAUGAGCGAUUGGACGAAAGUGUCUUCUGUAAGAGGGAGAUAUGGUCAAGAACAUCGACGCUCGGUCAUGAAGAUGAACACGCAUCGCUUGCAGGUGUGUUUGGAUCCUAAGGACCUGAACAAGGCCAUACAGCGGCAAAACUUCUCCAUACCCACCUCAGAGGAUGUGCAAUGCAAACUAGCAGGCAAGAAGAUCUUCACUAUCCUAGAUGAGAAGGAUGGGUAUUGGGAAAUCAAGCUGGAUGAGGAAUCCACCGACGUCUGCACAUUCAAUACACCAUGGGGGAGCAUCCACCAAAGAAGAGCAUGACCGCAUCCUGAAGCAGGUAAUGGACAGAUACAUCCGUCUGAAUGUGAAGUUCAAUGCUGACAAUAUGCAGUACAUGGUGAGUGAAGUGAAGUACGUUAGGGCACAUCGUCAGUGCUGACGGGGUUAAAGCAGACAACUCCAAGGUGACAGCAAUCACACAGAUGCCUCCACCAGGAGACAGGGUUCUACAGAGGCUACUGGGCAUGAUACGUGUCCUAACCCAGUAUACCCCAGAUGUUUCCUAACCCAGUAUAUCCCAGAUGUUUCCUAACCCAGUAUAUCCCUGACGUGUCCUAACCCAGCAUAUCCCAGACGAAGCCACACUCACUGCACCAAUCAGAAUGCUCCUCAGGAAGUACAUGGCAUGGUAGUGGCACCCAGAACAACAAGAAGCACUGGAUAGAGUGGGGAAAAAAGCCAUAUCCACUGUGCCGAUGCCGAAAUCUUCAAUCCACAGGAAGAGAUUGAAAUGCAAGCUGAUGCAUCCAAAGAUGGACUGGUAAACGGUCUAUAGAUGGACUGGUAAACGGUCUAUAGAUGGACUGGUAAACGGUCUAUAGGUGGACUGGUAAACGGUCUAUAGGUGGACUGGUAAACGGUCUAUAGAUGGACUGGUAAACGGUCUAUAGAUGGACUGGUAAACGGUCUAUAGAUGGACUGGUAAACGGUCUAUAGAUGGACUGGUAAACGGUCUAUAGAUGGACUGGUAAACGGUCUAUAGAUGGACUGGUAAACGGUCUAUAGAUGGACUGGUAAACGGUCUAUAGAUGGACUGGUAAACGUCCUAUAGAUGGACUGGUAAACGGUCUAUAGAUGGACUGGUAAACGGUCUAUAGAUGGACUGGUAAACGGUCUAUAGAUGGACUGGUAAACGGUCUAUAGAUGGACUAGUAAACGGUCUAUAGAUGGACUGGUAAACGGUCUAUAGAUGGACUGGUAAACGGUCUAUAGAUGGACUGGUAAACGGUCUAUAGAUGGACUGGUAAACGGUCUAUAGAUGGACUGGUAAACGGUCUAUAGAUGGACUGGUAAACGGUCUAUAGAUGGACUGGUAAACGGUCUAUAGAUGGACUGGUAAACGGUCUAUAGAUGGACUGGUAAACGGUCUAUAGAUGGACUAGUAAACGUCCUAUAGAUGGACUAGUAAACGGUCUAUAGAUGGACUGGUAAACGGUCUAUAGAUGGACUGGUAAACGGUCUAUAGAUGGACUAGUAAACGGUCUAUAGAUGGACUAGUAAACGUCCUAUAGAUGGACUGGUAAACGGUCUAUAGGUGGACUGGUAAACGGUCUAUAGGUGGACUGGUAAACGGUCUAUAGGUGGACUGGUAAACGUCCUAUAGGUGGACUGGUAAACGUCCUAUAGAUGGACUGGUAAACGGUCUAUAGAUGGACUGGUAAACGGUCUAUAGAUGGACUAGUAAACGGUCUAUAGAUGGACUGGUAAACGGUCUAUAGAUGGACUGGUAAACGGUCUAUAGAUGGACUGGUAAACGGUCUAUAGAUGGACUGGUAAACGGUCUAUAGAUGGACUGGUAAACGGUCUAUAGAUGGACUGGUAAACGGUCUAUAGAUGGACUGGUAAACGGUCUAUAGAUGGACUGGUAAACGGUCUAUAGAUGGACUAGUAAACGGUCUAUAGAUGGACUAGUAAACGGUCUAUAGAUGGACUGGUAAACGGUCUAUAGAUGGACUGGUAAACGGUCUAUAGAUGGACUGGUAAACGGUCUAUAGAUGGACUGGUAAAUGGUCUAUAGGUGGACUGGUAAACGGUCUAUAGAUGGACUAGUAAACGGUCUAUAGGUGGACUAGUAAACGGUCUAUAGGUGGACUAGUAAACGGUCUAUAGGUGGACUGGUAAACGGUCUAUAGAUGGACUGGUAAAUGGUCUAUAGGUGGACUGGUAAACGGUCUAUAGAUGGACUAGUAAACGGUCUAUAGAUGGACUGGUAAACGGUCUAUAGAUGGACUGGUAAACGGUCUAUAGAUGGACUAGUAAACGGUCUAUAGAUGGACUGGUAAACGGUCUAUAGAUGGACUGGUAAACGGUCUAUAGAUGGACUGGUAAACGGUCUAUAGCCUUUGGAUCUAGAGCUCUUUCUGGGGCAGAACAAAACUAUGCCCAAAUAGAAAAAUAAGUCCUGGCAAUAGAGAUCGGACUAGAGGUUUCACCAGUAUGUCUAUGGUUUCCAGGUCUGAGUUCAAUCCGACCACAAACCACUUGAGGCUAUAAUCACCAAGCCCAUUGAAAAGGCGCCUGCACGUCUUCAAAGGAUGCUGCUGCAAAGACAGAAAUAAUACAUUCAUAUCGUCUACACCCCAGGUAAAGACAUGUUAAUAGCAGACACGCUAUCCAGGCCUGUAGCCUAGACUGCCAGACAUGGUGUGACCUCCGUGAUGAGAAAGUAAGUUAUGCCGUUUCCACACAUCUUCCACUGGAGGGCGCUGUUAUGCAACAGCUGAGAGCAGCCACAGACAGCGAGAUACAGCUGCUGAGGAACCUGCACAGAGAUGGAUGGCUAGACAGGAAAAGUGCACCAAUCAAAGCACAGACCUACUGGCAUAUCAGAGACUUUCUUUACAUUGAAGAUGGACUACUCAUGGUAAACAAAUGCGUUAUCAUUCCCAGAGACUUUAGAGCUGAGGUACUUAAAAGGGCUCCACACUGCACAUCAGGACAUUCAACGCUUGUUUAGAGAAUGCAAGAGCUCUCAAUGAUGGCCUCAAUGAUGAUGUAUGCAUGAUGUUCAAGUCGUGCACUUCUUGUCAAAAAUAACUUCCCAGCAACCAAAAGGAGGCUGUCGGACAAGACAUCAGGUACUGUCAUAGCAAAGUGGAAUGAGGUGUUUGCUAGACAUGGUAUUGCAGACCAUGUACACUUUGCAAGUGCUGAGAUGGCUCAGUUUGCAAAAGAGUGGGAUUUGAAAAUCACAAAUUCAAGUACAGGGCUUUCCCAGUCAAACGGAAUGUCUGAGAAGACUAUUCCGUUAGUGAAAAACAUGCUGAGAUCCACAGCACAAACAGGUGUUGACCCUCACAUAGCUCUCCUGAACCUAAGAAAUACACCUGUCCAGUGCUCCCCUGCUCAGCUACCCAUGGGACGUGUCCUACGCUCCAUCCUAUCUGCAACUAAAGCAGCCCUUUAGCCAGUGACUCCCAAAAAUGUCCAGCAUGGCCUGAAACACAGACAGCCACAGCAGAAGACAUGUUUCUACAAAAUGGCAUCACCACUUCCUUCAUUCUGGGAGAGAGAGUGUGCAUGGAGAGGGCAAUAGGAUGGCAGCCAUCAACAGUGAGAAUCAGAGAUGAACUGAGAUCAUAUGAAAUCCAAUCAAAUUUGAUUUGUCACAUGCACAUGUUUAGCAGAUGUUAUUGCGGGUGUAGUGAAAUGCUUGUGUUUCUAGCUCCAACAGUGCAGUAAUAUCUAACAAUUCACAACAAUACGCACAAUAAACACAGGCAGUGGCUCGGGUGGUUGUUGUCCUUGAUCUUUUUGGCCUUCCUGUGACAACGGGUGCUGUAGGUGUCCUGGAAGGCAGGUAGUUUGCCCCUGGUGACGUGUUGGGCAGACCGCACCACUCUCUGCAGAGCACUGCAGUUGCAGGCGGUGCAGUUGCUGUUGAUGUCAUCACACCAGUCGGAGCUCGCUACCGCAGAAACAGAAAGCAUCUCAGACCUGACAGAACAGCCAGGAACAGAGACAAGAGGAAGUCACAAUCACUGACUCUGAUUCAGACCGAGAGGUCGAAGAGGAGAAACAAAGAGAUAGAACACAGACAAAACAUGACAAAUGACAGAGCACCAGAACCCUCUGGAGAAAGAGGAGGAGAAACAUAAGAAGUAUCGCAAGAGCAUUUCCAAUAAUCCUUUUGAGGAAUAGCAACUUUGCUUAACUUUCUUCUUAAAUCUGUAGUUAAGGAAAAAAUUGCAGUUAAGAAGAAAUUUCUUCUUAAGAAGGUUUUGUGAAUCUGGGCCCAGGACCCUCUGUCAUAGAGACUCAAACCAGUCAGAGCACUAGAACCCUCUGUCAUAGAGACUCAAACCAGUCAGAGCACUAGAACCCUCUGUCAAAGAGACUCAAACCAGUCAGAGCACCAGAACCCUUUGUCAUAAACACUCAAACCAGUCAGAGCACUAGAACCCUCUAUCAUAGAGACUCACACCAGUCAGAUCACCAGAACCCUCUAUCAUAGAGACUCAAACCUGUCAGAGCACUAGAACCCUCUAUCAUAGAGACUCACACCAGUCAGAGCACUGGAACCCUCUAUCAUAGAGACUCACACCAGUCAGAUCACCAGAACCCUCUAUCAUAGAGACUCAAACCUGUCAGAGCACCAGAACCCUCUAUCAUAGAGACUCACACCAGUCAGAGCACUAGAACCCUCUAUCAUAGAGACUCACACCAGUCAGAGCACUGGAACCCUCUAUCAUAGAGACUCACACCAGUCAGAUCACCAGAACCCUCUAUCAUAGAGACUCAAACCAGUCAUAGCACCAGAACCCUUUGUCAUAGAGACUCAAACCUGUCAGAGCACUAGAACCCUCUAUCAUAGAGACUCAAACCAGUCAGAUCACCAGAACCCUCUAUCAUAGAGACUCAAACCUGUCAGAGCACCAGAACCCUCUAUCAUAGAGACUCAAACCAGUCAGAUCACCAGAACCCUCUGUCAUAGAGACUCAAACCUGUCAGAGCACCAGAACCCUCUAUCAUAGAGACUCAAACCAGUCAGAUCACCAGAACCCUUUGUCAUAGAGACUCAAACCUGUCAGAGCACCAGAACCCUCUAUCAUAGAGACUCACACCAGUCAGAUCACCAGAACCCUCUGUCAUAGAGACUCAAACCUGUCAGAGCACCAGAACCCUCUAUCAUAGAGACUCAAACCAGUCAGAUCACCAGAGCAGCCAGGUGUACUAAACUACCAGCGAGGCUACAGGACUAUAGUGUUUCUUGACUAGCAGCAUUCAUUCUCGCUGUUGAUAAUUGUAACUUCUAAUAGUAACUAUCAACUAGUGGAUUGGGAGAAAGUGGGGUGAUUGCUAUCUAAGAGCCAACAUAUUUUUUUGUAGCAUUGCUGACUGCCAGAUUCAAGGAGCAAUCAUCGUUAACAUAGCAGAUGCAACACAUUGAAUAUUUACAUUCAUGCUGUCACGCCCUGACCUGAGAGAGCUGUUAUUCUCUGUUUAGUUAGGUCAUGGUGUGAUAUGGGGUGGGCAUUCUAUAUAUUUUAUUUCUAUGUUUUGGACAGGUAUGGUUUCCAAUCAGAGGCAGCUGUCUAUUGUUGUCUCUGAUUGGGAACCAUACUUAGGCAGCCCUUUUCCCCUCCUUGAGUUGUGGGAUCUUGUUUUUGUGCAGCUGCCUUUGAGCAGCCCCAGAGCGUCACGGUUCUUUCUGUUUUACCUGUUUUUUGUUUUGUUCGGUUUUCCUUCAAUAAAGUAUGUGGAAUUACGGGUAUGCUGCGCCUUGGCUUAUUUACGACAGGGAGUUCGAGGACAGUGAUCGUGACACAUGCAUUUCUAAAUGAAUGUACAUUUUGUCCCAGAAGCAUUUAACUGCAGGGCACUCCCACAUCAUUUAUGUAAUCAAAACAAGCACAUAAAGGCUUCAUAAUUCAUAAAGGUCAUGGUAACUGACUGAUAUUAUAUCAUAGAACAAAACGUAUCAAAUCUCUUAAGCCUGUGUUAAUGACGGACCUUAUUUUAAGGGUUCAUCCCAACCCCAUUCUUUCCCCCAUAGGAAUGGCUGAACAAACCUAAGGUAACUCAUUUCCGGCUUUUAGGAUUGCAAGCUGGCUAGCUCUAUGAUCCUCUAAGUUAGCGCAAGCUGCCUCACGGACUAAUGAUAAAGAACGCAAAUUACAGGCUACCUUUCAACAGGUUGCAUGUGGUAUAUUGUAGUCAAUUGAGCCCUUAACAAACAUCCUGUUGUUUUGAAACCAGCAGACAAACAUUAUUGUGUUUUGUGUGUGUGUGAGACAAGAUCUCAGGCUGUAAUACAACAAAAUGUGAAAAAAAUUUAAAGAGUUGUGAAUACUUACUGAAGGCAAAUUCGUUCAGCGUGGGGGAAAAACAUUUACAUACAAAGUUUCAAGUCUUUAGGUCAAACGGAGUGACGGAUAUGAGGGUUUAAGUGAGAUUGCUUAUCACAGCGCCACCUAUAGGCCAAUCGGUGCUAUUCUUUUAGACCAAGUUGCUCAUGGCCUUUAGUUUUUGUGUGCCAAAUUAGAAAAAAGGUUACCAAUCUAUAUUUGAGUAGGUUUAUCCCCUAAUUACAUUAAAUACAUUUUGAAAAAUAAGAAUAGAAAAGUACUUUGUGUGUGCUUAUUAUCUUCUCCUAAAGUAUUUCUGGUUGUGAAAUAAGUUAUAGUAGUAGCAGUAGUGACUGCAGUAGUAACAGUAGAAGUAGAAGUGGUGAUUGGUGGUGGUGGUGGUGGUGUUAGUUGUGGUGGU